UGUCGAUGAAGAGCGCAGCCAACUGUGUGAAUUAAUGUGAACUGCAUAUCGCUUUGAACAUCGACAACUUGAACGCAUAUUGCGGCCACGGGUUAGCCUGUGGCCACGCCCGUCCGAGGGUCG
rnacentral:rRNA from 1 species